rnacentral:snRNA from 1 species
AUGCUCACUUUAGCACACAUACUAAAAUUGGAACAAUACAGAGAAAAUUAGCAUGGCCUCUGCACAAGAGUGAUGCACAAAUUCAUGAAGCAUCCCAUACUUCU